AACGAACGCUGGCGGCAGGGUUUAGGCAUGCAAGUCGCGCGAGAAAGGAGCAAUCCGAGUACAGCGGCGUAAGGGUGAGUAAUAGGUAGCCGACCUACCGUGCGGACGCGGAUAAUUCCCCGAAAGGGGUUGUAAUACGCGAUGAGACCACGUUGCUCACGGGCGAUGGGGUCAAAGGGCCUGGGAUCCUUCGGGACCAGGCGGCCGCAUGAGGGGGCGACCUCCGAUUAGCUAGUUGGCGGGGUAACGGCCCACCAAGGCGAUGAUCGGUAGCCGGGCUGAGAGGCUGUCCGGCCACACGGGCACUGAGACACUGGCCCGACUCCUACGGGAGGCUGCAGUCGCGAAUUUUUCACAAUGGGCGCAAGCCUGAUGAAGCCAUGCCGCGUGCGGGAUGAAGGCCCUCUGGGUUGUAAACCGCUGUCAGGGAAGGGAAUGUUCGUAGUUAACAGCUGCGGAUUUGACUGCUUUCCAAAGGAAGCCCCGGCAAAACAUGUGCCAGCAGCCGACGG
rnacentral:rRNA from 1 species